GACGAACGCUGGCGGCGUGCCUAAUACAUGCAAGUCGAACGCAUUUUCUUUCACCGUUGCUUGCUACACCGAAAGAAAGUGGGUGGCGACCGGUUGAGUAACACGUGGGUAACCUGCCCAUCAGCGGGGGAUAACACUUGGAAACAGGUGCUAAUACCGCAUAAUUCCAUUUACCGCCUGGUAGUUGGCUGAAAGGCGCUUUUGCGUCACUGAUGGAUGGACCCGCGGUGCAUUAGCUAGUGGGUGGGGUGACGGCCUACCAAGGCUGCGAUGCAUAGCCGACCGGAGAGGGGGAGCGGCCACACUGGGACGGAGACACGGCCCAGACCCCUACGGGAGGCAGCAGUAGGGAACCUUCGGCGAUGGACGCAAGUCUGACCGAGCAACGCCGCGUGAGUGAAGAAGGUUUUCGGAUUGUAAAACUCUGUUGUUAGAGAAGAACAAGGAUGAGAGUGGAAAGUGCAGCCCUUGACGGUACCUAACCAGAAAGCCACGGCUAACUACGUG
rnacentral:rRNA from 1 species